rnacentral:rRNA from 2 species
GUAGCGGCGAGCGAACGGGGAGCAGCCCAGAGUCUGAAUCAGCUUGUGUGUUAGUGGAACGGUCUGGAAAGUCCGACGGUACAGGGUGAUAGUCCCGUACACCAAAAUGCACAGGCUGUGAACUCGAAGAGUAGGGCGGGACACGUGGUAUCCUGUCUGAAUAUGGGGGGACCAUCCUCCAAGGCUAAAUACUCCUGACUGACCGAUAGUGAACCAGUACCGUGAGGGAAAGGCGAAAAGAACCCCGGCGAGGGGAGUGAAAAAGAACCUGAAACCGUGUACGUACAAGCAGUGGGAGCACCUUCGGGUGUGACUGCGUACCUUUUGUAUAAUGGGUCAGCGACUUAUAUUCUGUAGCAAGGUUAACCGUAUAGGGGAGCCGCAGGGAAACCGAGUCUUAACUGGGCGUUAAGUUGCAGGGUAUAGACCCGAAACCCGGUGAUCUAGCCAUGGGCAGGUUGAAGGUUGGGUAACACUAACUGGAGGACCGAACCGACUAAUGUUGAAAAAUUAGCGGAUGACUUGUGGCUGGGGGUGAAAGGCCAAUCAAACCGGGAGAUAGCUGGUUCUCCCCGAAAGCUAUUUAGGUAGCGCCUCGUGAAUUCAUCUUCGGGGGUAGAGCACUGUUUCGGCUAGGGGGUCAUCCCGACUUACCAACCCGAUGCAAACUACGAAUACCGAAGAAUGUUAUCACGGGAGACACACGGCGGGUGCUAACGUCCGUCGUGAAGAGGGAAACAACCCAGACCGCCAGCUAAGGUCCCAAAGUCAUGGUUAAGUGGGAAACGAUGUGGGAAGGCACAGACAGCCAGGAUGUUGGCUUAGAAGCAGCCAUCAUUUAAAGAAAGCGUAAUAGCUCACUGGUCGAGUCGGCCUGCGCGGAAGAUGUAACGGGGCUAAACCAUGCACCGAAGCUGCGGCAGCGACACUAUGUGUUGUUGGGUAGGGGAGCG